UACGUAGGGUGCGAGCGUUGUCCGGAAUUAUUGGGCGUAAAGGGCUCGUAGGCGGUCUGUUGCGUCAGGAGUGAAAACUCGGGGCUUAACCCCGAGCCUGCUUCUGAUACGGGCAGACUAGAGGUAUGCAGGGGAGAACGGAAUUCCUGGUGUAGCGGUGAAAUGCGCAGAUAUCAGGAGGAACACCAAUUGCGAAGGCAGCUCGCUGGGACGUUACUGACGCUGAGGCGCGAAAGCGUGGGGAGCAAACAGG
rnacentral:rRNA from 1 species